ACGGAAGGCAGCAGUGGGGAAUAUUGCACAAUGGGCGAAAGCCUGAUGCAGCGACGCCGCGUGAGUGAAGAAGUAUCUCGGUAUGUAAAGCUCUAUCAGCAGGGAAGAAAAUGACGGUACCUGACUAAGAAGCCCCGGCUAACUACGUGCCAGCAGCCGCGGUAAUACGUAGGGGGCAAGCGUUAUCCGGAUUUACUGGGUGUAAAGGGAGCGUAGACGGUUUGGCAAGUCUGAAGUGAAAUGCGGGGGCUCAACUCCUGAACUGCUUUGGAAACUGUCGAACUAGGGUGCAGGAGAGGUAAGUGGAAUUCCUAGUGUAGCGGUGAAAUGCGUAGAUAUUAGGAGGAACACCAGUGGCGAAGGCGGCUUACUGGACUGUAACUGACGUUGAGGCUCGAAAGCGUGGGGAGCAAACAGGAUUAGAUACCCUGGUA
rnacentral:rRNA from 1 species